GACGAACGCUGGCGGCGUGCCUAAUACAUGCAAGUAGAACGCUGAAGGAGGAGCUUGCUCUUCUGGAUGAGUUGCGAACGGGUGAGUAACGCGUAGGUAACCUGCCUGGUAGCGGGGGAUAACUAUUGGAAACGAUAGCUAAUACCGCAUAAUAGCAGUUGUUGCAUGACAACUGUUUGAAAGGUGCAAUUGCGCCACUACCAGAUGGACCUGCGUUGUAUUAGCUAGUUGGUGAGGUAACGGCUCACCAAGGCGACGAUACAUAGCCGACCUGAGAGGGUGAUCGGCCACACUGGGACUGAGACACGGCCCAGACUCCUACGGGAGGCAGCAGUAGGGAAUCUUCGGCAAUGGACGGAAGUCUGACCGAGCAACGCCGCGUGAAUGAAGAAGGUUUUCGGAUCGUAAAGCUCUGUUGUAAGAGAAGAACGAGUGUGAGAGUGGAAAGUUCACACUGUGACGGUAUCUACCA
rnacentral:rRNA from 1 species